AAAGCAAGAACGAAGGGAAAGUAUCGAAUAUUCAAUAUAUCGCUUGUUUGUAUCGAUAGAUUACACAUCGAUUUUACACAUCGACCGAGUUUCUUAACUCUCUUCUUCAUCGACGCAAGCGCAGAAAGUUGGUUGGAAAUCGAGAAAGUUCACAACGUAUAUCGAUGACGAAAGAUCGUGAAAUAUUUUGAUAAUUGUAUACAGAAGAUUGUUUCACAAUUAUAUUAUAAUAGUGAUUAAAUAACUUGAUUUUAAAUUCUUAUUUAUAGCACAGAAUCAUAGUACUCGUUUACAAUAAAGAAUAAUAUUUAAAAGAAUUUGAAUAUAUUUGAUCCCGAUUAAUGUUCAAAUAUGAACGCGAGUAAAACUAAUUAACAGUUUUCAAGAUAAACAAUGUUUACCAUAAAAGGCAGAACAUGAUGCGGCUUCUGAACACAUAUAGAAAGAUGAAUACAAUUGAAUUGUAAUAUAUUGAAUAUUGAAUGAAAAAU